GAUGAACGCUGGCGGCGUGCCUAAUACAUGCAAGUCGAGCGUACAGACGAGGAGCUUGCUCCUCUGACGUUAGCGGCGGACGGGUGAGUAACACGUGGAUAACCUACCUAUAAGACUGGGAUAACUUCGGGAAACCGGAGCUAAUACCGGAUAAUAUAUUGAACCGCAUGGUUCAAUAGUGAAAGACGGUUUUGCUGUCACUUAUAGAUGGAUCCGCGCCGCAUUAGCUAGUUGGUAAGGUAACGGCUUACCAAGGCAACGAUGCGUAGCCGACCUGAGAGGGUGAUCGGCCACACUGGAACUGAGACACGGUCCAGACUCCUACGGGAGGCAGCAGUAGGGAAUCUUCCGCAAUGGGCGAAAGCCUGACGGAGCAACGCCGCGUGAGUGAUGAAGGUCUUCGGACCGUAAAACUCUGUUAUUAGGGAAGAACAAAUGUGUAAGUAACUAUGCACGUCUUGACGGUACCUAAUCAGAAAGCCACGGCUAACUACGUG
rnacentral:rRNA from 1 species